rnacentral:rRNA from 1 species
AGUGAACGCUGGCGGCAGGCCUAACACAUGCAAGUCGAACGGCAGCACAGCAGUAGCAAUACUGUGGGUGGCGAGUGGCGGACGGGUGAGGAAUACAUCGGAAUCUGCCUAGUCGUGGGGGAUAACGUAGGGAAACUUACGCUAAUACCGCAUACGACCUACGGGUGAAAGCGGGGGAUCGCAAGACCUCGCGCGAUUAGAUGAGCCGAUGUCCGAUUAGCUAGUUGGCGGGUAAUGGCCCACCAAGGCGACGAUCGGUAGCUGGUCUGAGAGGAUGAUCAGCCACACUGGAACUGAGACACGGUCCAGACUCCUACGGGAGGCAGCAGUGGGGAAUAUUGGUACAAUGGGCGCGAAGCCUGAUCCAGCCAUG